rnacentral:rRNA from 1 species
UACGAAGGGGGCUAGCGUUGCUCGGAAUCACUGGGCGUAAAGGGUGCGUAGGCGGGUCUUUAAGUCAGGGGUGAAAUCCUGGAGCUCAACUCCAGAACUGCCUUUGAUACUGAAGAUCUUGAGUUCGGGAGAGGUGAGUGGAACUGCGAGUGUAGAGGUGAAAUUCGUAGAUAUUCGGAGGAACACCAGAAGCGAAGGCGGCCGACUGGCCCGAUACUGACGCUGAGGAGCGAAAGCGUGGGGAGCAAACAGG